CAGCCAGAGGUAUCAUGAUGCCAGUUGCAGCAAAAUGCCAUUAGCAGUGUUUUACAUAAGAAUGCCACACAAUCAUGAACGUGCUUCUUCUGGCUAGUUUCUCUAAGGUCUGAUAUACCAGCAGCUGAGAAGCUACAAUUAGGAUGUAAACACUUCACUGAUAUAAAGAAAGAACACUAAGACCAUCUUCUAUGACAAUGGCAGACUACUUCACUCGAUCGAAGGGUCAUCCAAGAGGGAAAAGAAUAGAGAAAGAAAGAAAUUCAGCACAGUAAACAAGACCCUAUGUAGAGUCUUUUAUUUCUUCAUUCUGUACAAACUUCUUUCAACUCCAAGUCAAAGGGAUUUGCUUCUAAUCGGUGAAGAGAAAUAGAGAGUAUACAAAAAAGAAUCAUUUGGAGAAA